UAUUAAAAAUCUCAUUCAUUUCUACCAUUGAAAACUAACAUGCAUGACAGAAUAACCAUACAAUUACAUGUGACAUGUCACGUAUAUCUCAUUCUGAUGCACACGAGCUAAUUUUUAGUCGCAAAAAUAGAUGGAGUUUGCUCUUUAAUU
rfam:Gossypium arboreum cultivar AKA8401 contig_5114_5, whole genome shotgun sequence.